rnacentral:lncRNA from 1 species
UUUAAAGGGAAAUGGCAAUAUAUUUUUUUAUUUUCUCAUUUGAAAGAACUUUUGAAACUAUUUAAUAACUUCUUUUACCGAUUCUUCAUAUCUUGCUUAGUUCUUGAAAUAUUUUCACUUGAAGUAACGAGAUGUCAGCCAUCUUGGAUAACAUUUUGAUCUCAUUAACGGUAGUUUUGGUGACGUCACAACAGGGAUUAACCAUAUAAAAGUAUUCGUUACUGACCAAAUAAUGAUUGGUAGAUGUUUUAAACGUUUCAAGUGAUCUUGAUAUUUCCAAUGGCAUGCAGAGUAUAAUUUUGAGUGCAAAAUGAUUAGUGAUUGUCUAGAUAAAAAUAUUGCGUGACCCCUGUUGUGACGUAACAUGCAUAUCCACAAAAAUCCAAGAUGGCGGACAUUUCAUUUCUUUCGAUUAAAAUAUUUGUAGAAGUAAGCAAGAUAUGAAAAAACGGUAAAAGAGUUUUAUAUAUAGUUUUAAAUGUUCUUUCAAACGAGAAAAUAAAAAAAUAUAUUGCCAUUUCCCUUUAAGAAU